UACGUAGGGGGCAAGCGUUGUCCGGAAUCAUUGGGCGUAAAGCGCGUGUAGGCGGCUUGGUAAGUCCGCUCUGAAAGCCCGGGGCUCAACCCCGGGAGGCGGGUGGAUACUGUCAAGCUCGAGUCCGGAAGAGGCGAGUGGAAUUCCUGGUGUAGCGGUGAAAUGCGCAGAUAUCAGGAGGAACAGCCAAUGGCGAAGGCAGCUCGCUGGGACGUGACUGACGCUGAGACGCGAAAGCGUGGGGAGCAAACGGG
rnacentral:rRNA from 1 species